rnacentral:rRNA from 1 species
AUACGUAGGUGGCAAGCGUUAUCCGGAUUUACUGGGUGUAAAGGGCGUGUAGGCGGUUUAGCAAGUCAGAAGUGAAAUUCCCGGGCUUAACUUGGGCGCUGCUUCUGAAACUGCUUUACUUGAGUGCUGGAGAGGAUAGUGGAAUUCCUAGUGUAGCGGUAAAAUGCGCAGAUAUUAGGAGGAACACCGGUGGCGAAGGCGGCUAUCUGGACAGUAACUGACGCUGAGGCGCGAAAGCACGGGGAGCAAACAGGAUUAGAUACCCUGGUAGUCCGUGCCGUAAACGAUGAAUACUAGGUGUAGGGUGUAUCGACUCCCUCUGUGCCGCAGUUAACACAUUAAGUAUUCCACCUGGGGAGUACGGCCGCAAGGUUGAAACUCAAAUGAAUUGACGGGG